rnacentral:rRNA from 1 species
GUCUAUGGCCAUGCCACCUUGAACAAGCCCAAUCCCCUCUGAUCUCAGAGGCUAAGCAGGGCCAGCCCUGGUUAAUACUUGGAUGGGAGACUACCUAGGAAGACCAGGUGCCGUAGGCA